ACUGCAUGCCACACAUGUUUUAUCCAUUUCAGAGCAAUUAAUCCUUUUGAUUAUUCUCAGACUUCAAUUAGCAUGCAAACUGAAAGUUUAACAAAAUUCUUUCUUCUGUUUUUUGUGUUUCUGUUCUUUGAAGGUUUGAAGACGCUGACGAUAGAAGAAAUUUGAUGAAGAAGAAGACAAAGAAGGUGAAGAAGAGAAGAAGAUUCAAAGAAAGUAUUUGGAAACCAAUUACAUCAAGGCAACAUAUGAACUUUUGUUGAGUAACCAAUUUGGUCAGCUUGUUGGAAGCAUUGUUUGAGGUUCAAGUUUGACGUGUAAGGCUAAAUUUUGAUUCUUGGGGAUUUGGAAGGAAGAUAGGAAGAUUGCAUUGGACGUGUUUUAAGAAGGUUGACAAGUAGAGAAGGUGCACCCAACACAAAAAGGACUUCAUAACAACUUUAAUAACAAGGACAAGGUAUAUUUGGGAUGAACGUGGUCGUGAUAUUACGAAGACGUUUUUUUAUAAUUGAUCAAGUAAGAAUAUCGCCACACGUGAAGUCUCAAGAUAUCCGAUCCAGAAAUUUAGCCAAUUAACUAGAAUUGGCUAAUUUAGACCAAUUAGUCCUCAUUCCAUAUAACACAGGUGGAUUGAAAACAUGGCAAGCCAAGCACGAUCUCCAACACUAUCGGUCUUUUCCAAAAUGAAAAUAUGUAAAGUGCCCUUGUCAAUUAGAUUCUAUAGGAUGCGGGUACUAUGUGCAAAAGUAUAUACAUAAAAUAGUGCAUAAUCCUACUAUUCCCAUUACUAGCCUCUUCAAUACAAAAGAUGCAUAUAUGCAAGGAGAGAUCGAUGUAAUUCGGACCCAAUGGGCAAGUUUUGUUGGCCAAUUUCUGUAAGGAUAUGAUUCUUAUUUUUUGUCUCAAUAGAAUGUAAAUGCUAUGCUUAGAAUGAAUGUAAAUUUAUCUAACCAUGAUCUUUGUGAAUGGAAUUAGUACAAUAUGAGAUUUGUGAAUGAGAGAAAUGAUGGCUUGGUGUAAAUAUUCUAUGAAAGUCUGGUUCUGGUA